rnacentral:sRNA from 1 species
GCUGGGCAUGGUGGUGCCUGCCUGUAAUCCCAGUGACUCAGGAGGCUGAGGCGGGAGGAUCACAAGUUCAAGUCCAACCUCAGCAAUUUAGCAAGGCCCUAAGUAAGCACUUGUGAGAUCCUGUCUCAA